AUAAAUACCAGCCGCCCGAACUCUGGACUCAGUGCCAGCGCCAAGCCUUCAGAGUCUGAGAGCAGCCUCCCUCACACACCUGAGUCACACCUGCCCGUAACACACGCGUUGCCGUACCAAAACACACCCACAGAAGAACUCUGCCAGCUGCUUGAGCCACACGUCACCUUCUCCUCAACAAUGAACUUCAAGCUGGUAUUCCUGGUGCUGGUGGUGAUGCUGAGCACGGUGCUGGGCAUGCCUCAGUACUUCGGCAAGAAGAGAAAGUUCCCCGGCCAGCGGCUGAGGGGCACCACUAACUAUGGCACCCACUCCUUCGGCGAGAAGGGAUACAACGACACGCCCGUCAGCAGACUAGACGAAGACAAAUUGGAAGUCUUUCGCCGCAAGAGGCGGACCUGAGCGGUAGGCCGGGCCUAAGAGAUCCUCCUUGUCUGUGAUCCUCUGAGGACGCUCCACCGAGAUUAGUCGCCUGCUGAGAAGCCAAUCUAUUCCCUAACAUAACCUAAUUUUGUCACCUAUAAUCUAUGAUGAUUAACGAAAUUUCAUUUCUCAAACAUUACAUUUAAGAGCGACUGUAAACUGUGGGUCAUUGCCCCACAAGACUGUAUGUUCAGGUGUAGCAUGACGCUGCAGAUUUACUGCAAGUCACUUCCCAUGCUCCUCCUGACGCGUGAACGACCGUGUGUUGCCGUGCAUGUCUUUAGGUUACUGCAGCACUCGGGGGCUGACAGAGAUGAUGUACGUCUCCGCUCCGCGAGCUGAGAACGUAUUAGCAGCAAUGUUAAGAGUUUUGAGUAGUAUAUGGGAACGUUGCCAAACAGUAUUUUUAUAUUGUAUGUGCGACAGCAUGAAUGUUUGUUGAUAUGAAAUGUCUUAUAUUAUUCAUCACAUUCAGAACAAUAUGUUUCUAUUAAAUUACUUAAUCGUUA